AUUGAACGCUGGCGGCAUGCCUUACACAUGCAAGUCGAACGGCAGCACGGGAGCAAUCCUGGUGGCGAGUGGCGAACGGGUGAGUAAUAUAUCGGAACGUGCCCAGUCGUGGGGGAUAACGCAGCGAAAGCUGUGCUAAUACCGCAUACGAUCUAAGGAUGAAAGCGGGGGACCGUAAGGCCUCGCGCGAUUGGAGCGGCCGAUAUCAGAUUAGCUAGUUGGUGGGGUAAAAGCCCACCAAGGCGACGAUCUGUAGCUGGUCUGAGAGGACGACCAGCCACACUGGAACUGAGACACGGUCCAGACUCCUACGGGAGGCAGCAGUGGGGAAUUUUGGACAAUGGGCGCAAGCCUGAUCCAGCAAUGCCGCGUGCAGGAUGAAGGCCUUCGGGUUGUAAACUGCUUUUGUACGGAACGAAACGGUCUGCUUUAAUACAGUGGGCUAAUGACGGUACCGUAAGAAUAAGCACCGGCUAACUACGUGCCAGCAGCCGCGGUAAUACGUAGGGUGCGAGCGUUAAUCGGAAUUACUGGGCGUAAAGCGUGCGCAGGCGGUUAUAUAAGACAGAUGUGAAAUCCCCGGGCUCAACCUGGGACCUGCAUUUGUGACUGUAUAGCUAGAGUACGGUAGAGGGGGAUGGAAUUCCGCGUGUAGCAGUGAAAUGCGUAGAUAUGCGGAGGAACACCGAUGGCGAAGGCAAUCCCCUGGACCUGUACUGACGCUCAUGCACGAAAGCGUGGGGAGCAAACAGGAUUAGAUACCCUGGUAGUCCACGCCCUAAACGAUGUCAACUGGUUGUUGGGUCUUCACUGACUCAGUAACGAAGCUAACGCGUGAAGUUGACCGCCUGGGGAGUACGCCCGCAAGGUUG
rnacentral:rRNA from 1 species